UGGGGGAUAUUGCACAAUGGGCGAAAGCCUGAUGCAGCGACGCCGCGUGGGGGAUGAAGACCUUCGGGUUGUAAACCUCUUUCGCUGGGUUGAAAGGCCAUGCUUUGGGUGUGGUUGAUUUGAACUGGUAAAGAAGUACCGGCUAACUACGUGCCAGCAGCCGCGGUAAUACGUAGGGUACUAGCGUUGUCCGGAUUUAUUGGGCGUAAAGGGCUUGUAGGUGGUUUGUCGCGUCUGUCGUGAAAUCCUGUGGCUUAACCAUGGGCUUGCGGUGGGUACGGGCAGGCUUGAGUGCGGUAGGGGAGACUGGAAUUCCUGGUGUAGCGGUGGAAUGCGCAGAUAUCAGGAGGAACACCGGUGGCGAAGGCGGGUCUCUGGGCCGUUACUGACACUGAGGAGCGAAAGCGUGGGGAGCGAACAGG
rnacentral:rRNA from 1 species